rnacentral:pre_miRNA from 1 species
UACUCGGCUCUGCCAGUCUUUCAUGUUGCCUUUUUGUCCUUUGUGAGACGACAGUGCCGAGAGGC